rnacentral:ncRNA from 1 species
CGUUCCGGCGGCACGAAACGUCUCUUUUCCCAACAAACAACCCGGUGAAAGAACCCCCGCCAAACCAAACCCCAGCCCCUCACCCGCCCGGGUGAACAUCGCCAACUCGGCUGGCUUUUGCCCUGGUUGCCUGCCCUACUCUCGGCGCAAUACAACCGCACAUACAACGGCCCUCGCAGGGACUGGCAUCCCGAUGCGAGGGCCUGACCACCGAGGAACCAACACUUCCUG